UUCAGCAGUGGAUGUCUAGGCUCGCACAUCGAUGAAGAACGCUGCGAACUGCGAUACGUAAUGCGAAUUGCAGAAUUCAGUGAGUCAUCGAAAUUUUGAACGCAUAUUGCACUCUCGGGUUAUGCCUGGGAGUAUGCCUGUAUCAGUGUCCGUAAAUCA
rnacentral:rRNA from 2 species